CGCCUACGGGGGGCAGCAGUGGGGAAUAUUGCACAAUGGGGGAAACCCUGAUGCAGCGACGCCGCGUGAGUGAAGAAGUAUUUCGGUAUGUAAAGCUCUAUCAGCAGGGAAGAAAUAGCGACCUUUGGGUCGCCAGACGGUACCUGAUUAAGAAGCCCCGGCUAACUACGUGCCAGCAGCCGCGGUAAUACGUAGGGGGCAAGCGUUAUCCGGAUUUACUGGGUGUAAAGGGAGCGUAGACGGUGCAGCAAGUCUGAUGUGAAAGGUCGGGGCCCAACCCCGGGACUGCAUUGGAAACUGUUGAA
rnacentral:rRNA from 1 species